rnacentral:rRNA from 1 species
UACGAGGGGGGCAAGCGUUGUUCGGAAUUAUUGGGCGUAAAGGGUGCGUAGGCGGGUCUUUAAGUCAGGGGUGAAAUCCUGGAGCUCAACUCCAGAACUGCCUUUGAUACUGAGGAUCUUGAGUACGGGAGAGGUGAGUGGAACUGCGAGUGUAGAGGUGAAAUUCGUAGAUAUUCGCAAGAACACCAGUGGCGAAGGCGGCUCACUGGCCCGUUACUGACGCUGAGGCACGAAAGCGUGGGGAGCAAACAGG